GGAAUAAUAAUUUAAAUUUAAAAUAUUUAUUUUGCAUAUAAAAUAUAUAUAUAUAUUAUAUAUAUUUAUUUCA
rnacentral:tRNA from 1 species